rnacentral:rRNA from 1 species
UACGGGGGGAGCAAGCGUUGUUCGGAUUUACUGGGCGUAAAGGGCGCGUAGGCGGCCACUGCAAGUCAGUUGUGAAAUCUCCGGGCUUAACCCGGAAAGGUCAACUGAUACUGCAGGGCUAGAGUGCAGAAGGGGCAACUGGAAUUCUCGGUGUAGCGGUGAAAUGCGCAGAGAUCGGGAGGAACACCCGUAGCGAAGGCGGCACUCUGGGCCGGUACUGGACGCUGAGGAGCGAAAGCGUGGGGAGCGAACAGG